AUGACCCCCGCCGCUGCAUUAGAUUUACAUUCUUGGUGCAUUCUUCAAUCAUCUGUAGUGCACCUCCUUGAGUUGAUUUUGAAGAAGUUUCACACAUCCGUAUGUACUUUGCAUGUUAAAUCUUUCUUUGGCUUCUUCUGUGAUGGAUGGAAGAUAAUGGAUGUUAUCUCAGGCAGCUCUCCUGUGUCUAGUUUGUAUAAGUUUUUAGUUAUUUUAACAUCUAAAUUUAUGCUGUGUGUUCCACACUUAAUUUCUAGACUGUCUAAUUGUUGGACAUGUAUUUUGUUUUUGAAAGAAAACUGUAGGCGGAGUCCCAACAGUAUAGAUGGGAACCCAAAUUCGCAUCCAUGA
rnacentral:rRNA from 1 species